GUGACAUACCUAUAACUGUUGCUUCGGCGGGUAGGGUCUCCGCGACCCUCCCGGCCUCCCGCCUCCGGGCGGGUCGGCGCCCGCCGGAGGAUAACCAAACUCUGAUUUAACGACGUUUCUUCUGAGUGGUACAAGCAAAUAAUCAAAACUUUUAACAACGGAUCUCUUGGUUCUGGCAUCGAUGAAGAACGCAGCGAAAUGCGAUAAGUAAUGUGAAUUGCAGAAUUCAGUGAAUCAUCGAAUCUUUGAACGCACAUUGCGCCCGCCAGCAUUCUGGCGGGCAUGCCUGUUCGAGCGUCAUUUCAACCCUCAAGCUCUGCUUGGUGUUGGGGCCCUACAGCUGAUGUAGGCCCUCAAAGGUAGUGGCGGACCCUCCCGGAGCCUCCUUUGCGUAGUAACUUUACGUCUCGCACUGGGAUCCGGAGGGACUCUUGCCGUAAAACCCCCCAAUUUUCCAAAGGUUGACCUCGGAUCAGGUAGGAAUACCCGCUGAACUUAAGCAUAUCAA
rnacentral:rRNA from 1 species